ensembl:scaRNA
GCUGGAGGACUAAGAAGGCUGAGUCUGAUGAAGCAAGACUCUGCUGAUACACUCCUCCUAGAAUAAAAGGGGUUGGAGAGAGCAGCCCUCACUGAAGAAUAUCACAGGGCUGACUGUACUACCCGACAUUC